rnacentral:rRNA from 1 species
GAUGAACGCUGGCGGCGUGCUUAACACAUGCAAGUCGAACGGACUUAUCAUGAAGCCUAGCGAUUGAUAAGUUAGUGGCGGACGGGUGAGUAACGCGUGGGUAACCUGCCUCACACUGGGGGAUAACACAGAGAAAUUUGUGCUAAUACCGCAUAAUGCAAUUGAGUCGCAUGGCUCUGAUUGCCAAAGAUUUAUCGCUCUAAGAUGGCCUCGCGUCUGAUUAGCUAGUUGGUGGGGUAACGGCCCACCAAGGCGACGAUCGGUAGCCGACCUGAGAGGGUGAUCGGCCACAUUGGAACUGAGAAACGGUCCAGACUCCUACGGGAGGCAGCAGUGGGGAAUAUUGGGCAAUGGGCGAAAGCCUGACCCAGCAACGCCGCGUGAGGGAAGAAGGGUUUCGGCUCGUAAACCUCUGUCCUAUGGGACGAAGAAGUGACGGUACCAUAGGAGGAAGCCCCGGCUAACUACGUG